rnacentral:lncRNA from 1 species
GUUAAAAAAUAUAUAAAAAUCAAGAAAUAGCCAUAAAAACAGCCUAAAAAAAUCUCAAAUCGCACUAGUUACCUUAGAAUAUCGAUACAAAUAAAAAAUUAAAUUUUCACAUUAUUUCGUGACCACUCAAAAAAUAACAAAAAUUUUAUUUCGUAAACGUCCGAAAAAUAUAAAAAUUAAGAAAAAGACAUAAAAAUACCUCAAAAAAAUCCCGAAUCGCACCAGUCACCUCAGAAUAUUGACACAAAUAAAAUUUCAAAAUUUCACAUUUUUUAGUGACUAACCGAAAAAUAUCAAAAAAUUUAGUUCGUAAACCUUCGAAAAAUAUAAAAAUCAAGAAAAAGACAUAACAACACCUAAAAAGUUCUCGAAUCGCACCAGUCACUUAGAAUACAAUACGAAUAAAUUAUCAAAAUUUCACAUUUUUUCGUGACCGCCCGAAAAAUAUCAAAAAAUUUAGUUCGUAAACCUUCGAAAAAUAUAAAAAUCAAGAAAAAGACAUAAAAAAUUCCUCAAAAAAUUCAUGAAUCG